CUACGGGCUGCUGCAGUGAGGAAUAUUGGACAAUGGUCGAAAGACUGAUCCAGCCAUGCCGCGUGCAGGAUGAAUGCCCUAUGGGUUGUAAACUGCUUUUAUACGGGAAGGACACCACCUACGUGUAGGUGACUGACGGUACCGUAAGAAUAAGGACCGGCUAACUCCGUGCCAGCAGCCGCGGUAAUACGGAGGGUCCAAGCGUUAUCCGGAAUCAUUGGGUUUAAAGGGUCCGUAGGCGGGCUAUUAAGUCAGAGGUGAAAGUUUGCAGCUCAACUGUAAAAUUGCCUUUGAUACUGAUAGUCUUGAAUUGUAGUGAAGUGGUUAGAAUAUGUGGUGUAGCGGUGAAAUGCAUAGAUAUCACAUAGAAUACCGAUUGCGAAGGCAGAUCACUAACUAUAUAUUGACGCUGAGGGACGAAAGCGUGGGGAGCGAACGGGAUUAGAUACCCUGGUAGUC
rnacentral:rRNA from 1 species